UGGUUCCUGUUCUGUAGGAUAACUGGUUUUUUCUGGUUAUAGAUACGUGCCCUAAGACUUUUUCUGAUAUUUGCACUCGAGAAGCUCUGCCAGGGCAAAAUGAUAAUAAAAGUGAAGCAGUUUGCAUGUCCAGCCUUAGUUCUCUGCAGUCUUGGUGCUCUCCUGCCAUUCAUGCUCCUGCUGAGGUCAGUGUCCCUGUGCCUGUGUCUUCAAAUCUCCAGGUUUUUGUCUUGGCUUCUGGCUUUGACAAGCAGAUACUAUGGGAGAUUGCUGUGUUCUUCCCAACAAAUGCAGGGUGGUAGCUCCCACCAUGGGCAGCAGGAAGCCAGCUCUGAGCACACUGUGCACUCCAAAAUUUGGUACGGAUUGAUGAUGGUGGUUAUACAUUCUGUGAAGUGAAGUGAGUCUUCCUGAGCUUUGCUGAUCGUCUCUGUAAGUGGCAACUGGGUCUUUUUUCUUCUGCUCGUGAACCUUUAGAAGUGUUGCUCAUCACUGAUUGAUGGAUGAGGCUCUGAAACUGCUAUAAUUAAGAUAGUGUUCACACUGCCAUAAUUACAAGAUACAGCAAUUUUAUUAGCCAGGAUUAUUUAUUAGUCACAGCAAUCAAAGCUGCAUUUUGAUUAGUCACAGGAGGACCUGACAGAACAUGGAUGUUAACAUUAUGUAUCCAAUGUGUUCAUUUGCAAGCUUGUCAUAUUUGUC